rnacentral:rRNA from 1 species
UUUAAAGAGGUACGUGAGCUGGGUUUAGAACCUCGUGAGACAGUUCGGUCCCUAUCUGCCAUGGGCGUUGGAGAUUUGAGAGGGGCUGCUCCUAGUACGAGAGGACCGGAGUGGACGAACCUCUGGUGUUUCGGUUGUCACGCCAGUGGCAUCGCCGGGUAGCUAAAUACGGACGGGAUAACCGCUGAAAGCAUCUAAGCGGGAAGCCCACCUUAAGAUUAGAUUUCCCUAAAGAGCCGUUCUAGACUACGACGUUGAUAGGUU